rnacentral:lncRNA from 1 species
AUUUUCACUCGAUACAUAUGGAGUAUUAUGCUCCAAAUCCAAUAGCAUCAGAAGGACGAAUACGAAAUUGGUCGCUGUACUGGCUUGUCAGCACUUUGUAGUACCACAUUUAGGAGAAGAUAUGGACAAAAUUUCCUCUCUUUCUAUGCAUGUGUAAAAAAGGUUCUCUUCAUUGCCUAUCAAUGGGUGUAAUAUGGAAGCCUUGUAAUACUGUAGAAGUAUCCUUCUACAUUAUUUGCAUAUUGAUAUGGUUUGAACUUUUACAUAUUGGUAUAUUGGACAAUUGUUUAGCAAAUAAUGAAUUUCCUUUUUACUUGUCAGUUAAAUUCAUUUUAGUUGCACCUUUGGUCCCCUAUUAACUAUUUUGACAGAUGUACAUUAACAAUUGAUCUAUAGUGCAUGUGGAUUUGACAUAUGAAGAUUCUUUCUGCUCUGGUAUUACACGGUAUAUUUUAUAGUCGAGUGAAAAGAAUUUGAUGUAAGGUAUAAUUAAUGUGUCCUAUGGUUAUUGGAUGUUUAGGUCAUGUCCACUGGUAGUUUAGUUGAGUUAAUCUGACUCAUAAUUCUUUUAGCAGAUUUAAUCUGAACUGAUUACUGUCAGCCUGUCAGCUGAGAUUAACAAUUAGGCUUGAUAUAGAUUUAGAUCUCUUGCU